rnacentral:rRNA from 1 species
GACGAACGCUGGCGGCGUGCUUAACACAUGCAAGUCGAGCGGUAAGGCCCUUUCGGGGGUACACGAGCGGCGAACGGGUGAGUAACACGUGGGUGACCUGCCCUCAGCUCUGGGAUAAGCCUGGGAAACCGGGUCUAAUACCGGAUAUGACUCCAUGACGCAUGUUGUGGGGUGGAAAGCCUUGUGCGGCUGAGGAUGGGCCCGCGGCCUAUCAGCUUGUUGGUGGGGUGAUGGCCUACCAAGGCGACGACGGGUAGCCGGCCUGAGAGGGCGACCGGCCACACUGGGACUGAGACACGGCCCAGACUCCUACGGGAGGCAGCAGUGGGGAAUCUU